GCCAGGCACAGUGGCGCAUGCCUGUAAUCCCAGCAGCUCGGGAGGCUGAGACAGGAGGAUCGAAAGUUCAAAGACAGCCUCAGCAAUGGCAAGGUGCUAAGCAACUCAGUGAGACCCUGUCUCUA
rnacentral:sRNA from 1 species